AGCACAGCGGAUACGUUGGUUGACUUUCCACUCGCUCAUGUUACGACUUCUUCGAUGCAUCACCGCCUCGCCGGCUGUGGCAGCAAGCGUCGCAGUUGCAGCAGCCCAGACAUCGACCAGCCUGCGCCCUGCUGCGGUGUGCCGCCGUGAUGUUCACCUAACACCGUCCGUACUAGCCGCAGCACCCGCAAGCACCGCCACGUCGACGACGACCAUCGCGGCUGGUCCCUACCGCCGCGUCGGGAAUGUGUUCAUCGUUACGUGCAUAGACCACCCCUUCAAGUUCUCGUGGGAGGUGAACCGCAUGCUGCGCGAGCUCCGCCUGGAGUUUAUGGGGCAGACCACCGUCGUGCCGGACAUCCCGUCAGUGCGAAAGCGAAUUUGGCGGGUGCGCCACGUUGUCCGCAUCGACCAGCUCGACCUCGACGAAGCGAAGGCGCUCAUCGGGAUUCCGGAGCACAUCUCGUUUCGCGAUUUGGCGGCGCAGAUCCCACCAACGUUUGGCCGGGGCGGCUCCGUCGCCAACCCGCACAUGCGCAGCAAGAUGAACUUUAUGCGACUGCGGCGCAUGCGGCUGCGUGACGUGAUGCACCGCGAUCAGCUUGAGAAACGGCUCCUGGAGGAAAAGCGUCAUGCACUGCAGCAGCAGCAGCAGCAGGGUGGUGGCGGAGCAGCAGCAGCAGCAGCAGCGACGACUGCGUAAUAUUUUUUUUUGCCUUUCUCACGGGUCGGAGGAGGGCGUGCGUGUUGCCGAAGCGCGAAGACGAUAAGGAUCGAUGGGUUUGCUUCCAUGUGCGUGCGCGCCAGCCCGUACAAGCGCGUUGCCGUCUGCGUGAAGGUGUGUGGGUGUAGUUUCGUGUGCGCCAGCUGGAGUCCGCGCAGCCCUCCCUCCCCCAGUGGAUGAAGCGAAGAGGACGUGAUCGAGAAAGAGCACCAAAGUGUUGCUGCGUGCGCGGAUCUGGAUGAGUUCUCGCAACGACGACCCGCCAGCUUCCGCGUCUUCACGUAGUGGAUGUAAAUCAUUCCUGCUGGGUGCUCCCACGGCAGUGGUGGUGGUGGGCUAGUCCAUGCCUUGGGGCCCUCGAGGAGCGUGUCCCUGUCGUGCUCGUGACGCGGUCACCCCGCGCAUCGCUUCUCCGAUCCCUCCACCCUCUCUCCGCCUCUGCCUCUCUUGCACGUACUUCGUCGUCGGCCUAUACACCUGCGCACAG
rnacentral:misc_RNA from 1 species